rnacentral:rRNA from 1 species
UACGGAGGGGGUUAGCGUUGUUCGGAAUUACUGGGCGUAAAGCGCGCGUAGGCGGACCGUUAAGUUAGGGGUGAAAUCCCGGGGCUCAACCCCGGAACUGCCCUUAAUACUGGCGGUCUUGAGUUCGAGAGAGGUGAGUGGAAUUCCGAGUGUAGAGGUGAAAUUCGUAGAUAUUCGGAGGAACACCAGUGGCGAAGGCGGCUCACUGGCUCGAUACUGACGCUGAGGUGCGAAAGCGUGGGGAGCAAACAGG